GAGUUUGAUCCUGGCUCAGAACGAACGCUGGCGGCGUGCCUAACACAUGCAAGUCGAACGUGAUCCAGAGCUUGCUCUGGUGAAAGUGGCGCACGGGUGAGUAACGCGUGGAUAACCUACCCUGGUAUCCGGGAUAACAUUCCGAAAGGGGUGCUAAUACCGGAUAAGCCCACGGGCUCUUUGGAGCUUGCGGGAAAAGGUGGCCUCUAUUUAUAAGCUACUGUAUCAGGAUGGGUCCGCGUACCAUUAGCUAGUUGGCGGUGUAACGGACCACCAAGGCGACGAUGGUUAGCUGGUCUGAGAGGAUGACCAGCCACACUGGAACUGAGACACGGUCCAGACUCCUACGGGAGGCAGCAGUGGGGAAUUUUGCGCAAUGGGGGAAACCCAGACGCAGCAACGCCGCGUGAGUGAUGAAGGCCUUUGGGUCGUAAAGCUCUGUCAGAGGGGAAGAAAUGAUAUAGUGCUAAUACCACUUUAUCUUGACGGUACCCUCAAAGGAAGCACCGGCUAACUCCGUGCCAGCAGCCGCGGUAAUAC
rnacentral:rRNA from 1 species